GAUGGAGUGGUUGUCUGUUCAAGGCACUACAACUCAGGGGGCUAGAGAGAUGGAAUGGGGAGACAUGGGCCCUGUUGUCAAGUCCUUUUAGAUAUUCCUGGAACGGUCAUCCUGUAGGAGACUCGUUUCAUCGGUACACAGUAUAGGGAGAUUACCUCUGGAAUGAAGGCUUUGUAAUCUGUUGCAGGGAAGAAAGGCAAUGGAAGGUUAAAACAGAAGGGACUUCCUCGUCACUCUGGAUAAAACUGUCCUGUUACAGCAUUUGGAUAUCAUUUCACUUUUGAUUUCUCAGAAGAUCAGAUAAACAACUUUGUUUCAAUUUGAUGACAUGGAACCUUAGAAUAGGUUUGAAGUGGAGAGAGUGCAGAAGAGCCUAUUGAAAAGACCUUUGUAAACAUUUUGCUUACAUGGUUUUCUGACCCUGGAAAAUAAUCCCUGCGCAUGAAAUGAAAGAGACAUUUUAAAAAUAAGUCAUCAUUCUUCUGUGCUGCUGAAGUAAUCUUGUU